ensembl:lncRNA
CUCGAGAGUGAUUGACACAUUGAAAAAAUGUGUUUUCUGACGGCUGGGUUUAGGCCGUUUUGAUUAGGGGCAGUUCGGUAGCGCAAUUAACAAUCCCUCCCGCCUGCACUGGAUGCGGGGAACUAAUUAAAACAGCUUGCGUACCAGAAGCAGAGUCAGGGAUCGCAUAUAGCGACUUGGGUAUGUUUGAAGAGUCAAAAUCUAUCCUGGAGUCGAGAGAAACCAUGGGACCAUAGCACUCACCCACUUCCACACGAUCAGUGGAGAGGCCAUCCACUGCUUUCCACUCCGUUAAUUGAGAAGGAGACUGAACUGAUGGCUUUCCUACAGCAGAUUGCUGAUGAAGGAAAGGUCAUCACAGCAGAAGCCAUCCACCAAUUAUUUGGGGAGCUGAUGAAGAAGAGGCAACAGAUGAACAGCUGAUGUCAUUCUGCCCCACGGUGUCCUGUUGUUUACUUGUGCAAUUUUGUAAUGUUACUUUGGGUUCAUAGCAAAAGUUCUGUCCACCAAACACCUUCUGCUUUAAAUAACAGUGCUGCUAUAAAAUAUGCUGUUACUGAGGUUUAUGAAGUUGAAAGUUUUGCCAAAAAAGUUGUUCUCGAAUUGCUCUCCAUGGAUUUCAAAUGGCGUUCCAUGUCUCAUGAGAAGCUGAAGUAGCAUGCUGUUAGCAGGCUUGGAGAGAUGCUGAUGGAAUCUAGUCAUUUUAGUCAUGGACUUACUGUUAUUUGGUCAAUUAUGUCUUAGUUGUCAUUAGAAUUUCAUAAUAAUGUGACACCUGAUGAGGAUGCACUGCCUUUCAUAUUGAAACAGAUCCAGUAUGUGACCAUUUUAUGUUGUCACUAGCAUUCCUGUUAAUUAAACAUUUGAAUAGUUCAUCCAGCAUACUCCGUGACGUGAUUAUGUGGCUACUUGUCCUCCAAAUACCAGAAGGUACUUCUUAAAAAAAAAUAUUAAAAAACUUUUUACCCC